AUGCCAUCUAAGUAUGGACUCCUUUGCAGGAAGGAACUGUCAAAGCAGCAAAAUCAAGCUGUUUCUCUCUGCCCAGGGAAGUUUAUAGAUAGAAACAAGCUGAAAAAUAGGUUCAGAGAAGAGAAAUCACUGUCUCCGGGGCACACAACUGUCAAGUGUGGGAGCAAAGACAUGAACCUAGAGUAGAUGCCCUGACUCCAAGGCCAGUGUUCUCUGAUACACAACAUACCUUUAUUCAUAAGCAGUUGUCCUCGGGUUGGGGAUGGAGGCCAGCAUCCGGGGCAUCUGAGUGAGUAAAGCUAACUGGCCCAAACAGCCAGCUUCCCGG
rnacentral:lncRNA from 1 species